GAACUAUAUGUAAAUAUGUUUUGAAAACAUGUUUUGAGGUGACUCGUAGUUUU
rnacentral:tRNA from 1 species